AGCGGCCGCGGUAAUUCCAGCUCCAAUAGCGUAUAUUAAAGUUGUUGCAGUUAAAAAGCUCGUAGUUGAAUUUCGGGGUUAGUAGGUUGGUCAUGCCUCUGGUAUGUACUGGUCUCACUGAUUCCUCCUUCCUGAUGAACCUUAAUGCCAUUUAUUUGGUGUUUUGGGGAAUUUGGACUGUUACUUUGAAAAAAUUAGAGUGUUUAAAGCAAGCUAACGCUUGAAUACAUUAGCAUGGAAUAAUGAAAUAGGACGUUCGAUCCUAUUUUGUUGGUUUCUAGGAUUUGACGUAAUGAUUAAUAGGGAUAGUUGGGGGCAUUAGUAUUCAAUUGUCAGAGGUGAAAUUCUUGGAUUUAUUGAAGACUAACUACUGCGAAGGCAUUUGCCAAGGAUGUUUUCAUUAAUCAAGAACGAAAGUUAGGGGAUCGAAGACGAUCAGAUACCGUCGUAGUCUUAACCAUAAACCUAUGCCGACUAGGGAUCGGAUGAUGUUAAUUUUUANGUACUCAUUCGCGCUUAC
rnacentral:rRNA from 1 species